UAUCCCUCUGAGCCAGGUCCUGGUCAGUUACAGAGACAGUGAGGAUCUCCUCUGUCUGUGGCUCCUCAUCCGAUAUGUGACAGGAUGAAUCAGACAGCAUCAGAUCCGCAUACGUGUCUGGUUCCUCCGCUUCUGAUUCCUCUGAGGAUUCUGAUGAUGAGGAUGUUGAAGAUGACGAGGGCGAUACUAUCCUUGGUCUCUUGGCCCACGUUCUAGAUUGAUCUUUCUUAGGCUGGUGUGGCACAGUUGGAGCUGUCCUUUUUCGGAUCUUAUCCGUCCCAGAACGAGGUCAAUUGGAAGAUUGAUGCUUCUCCCGAAUGUCAUCUCGCUGGGAGAAACUCCGGUGGAUUCAUGUACAGAAGAGCGAUAAGCCAUCAUGAUUGUCUCCCCUGAACUGCCAUGAGCCUGUUGAGUGUUGUCCACCACACUGGUAACUGAUGAAGUCUCCGACUUUGCAUCCUUAUCUGAACCCUGUGACCUGGUGGUUACACGUAAGCAUGAGGUAUCAGGACUGCACCUAGCCCUUCAUUGGAAGCAUCCGUAUCCAAGAUGUAGAGUCCAUCAACCUUUGGAUAAGCCAGGAUCGGGGCACUUGUGAGUGCUCUCUUCAACAGGUCGAAAGCUUCCUGACAGUCUCCAUCCCAAACAAAUUUCUGGUACAGCUCGAUUUCCUAUGGGAUGGUCCAGGAGCUUCUUCAUCAGAAAACCCCUCAAUGGUUAUGUCAUUCUCUGUACCACUACCUGAACGAGCCUUACCUACUGGAAAUGUGACUUCAGAUUCGUCUCCAGAAUCCAUAUUUUCCAAUUCUACUUAAUUAAAAAAAAUAUGUAGAAUAGCA